CAGCCGCCGCGGUAAUACAGAGGAGCCAAGCGUUGUCCGGAUUGACUGGGCGUAAAGCGCACGCAGGCGGUCUGGCGCGUGGGGUGUGAAAUCUGGCCGCUUAACGGCCAGGCGCCAUCCCAUACGGCCGGACUGGAGGGCUGCAGAGGUCGAUGGAAUUGCCGGUGUAGUGGUGAAAUGCGUAGAGAUCGGCAGGAACACCCAGGGGGAAACCAGUCGACUGGGCAGCAGCUGACGCUGAGGUGCGAGAGCGUGGGGAGCGAACCGGAUUAGAUACCCGGGUAGUCCACGCCGUAAACGAUGGCCACUCGGCCUUUGGGGGCGGAAUCUCCGUCCGUGGGGGCCUUAGCUAACGCGGGAAGUGGCCCGCCUGGGAACUACGAGCGCAAGCUUAAAACUCAAAUGAAUUGACGG
rnacentral:rRNA from 1 species